CAUUUCUGAUGGAACCAUAAACUCAUUUCUGUUGGAACCAUAAACACGUAUUUCUGUUGGAACCAUAAACACAUUUCUGUUGGAACCAUAAACUUAUUCUUGUUGGAACCAUAAACUCAUUCCUGUUGGAACCAUAAACACAUUUCUGUUGGAAUCAUAAACUCAUUCCUGUUGGAACCAUAAACUCAUUUCUGUUGCAACUAUAAACUCAUUCCUGUUGGAACCAUAAACACAUUUCUGUUGGAACCAUAAACACAUUUCUGUUGGAACCAUAAACACAUUUCUGUUGGAACCACACAUUUACUUGUGGAGGAACUAUAAAUUAACCCAUUACUCCAGGAACCAUGAACACAUUACUGCCAAAACCAUAAUUCAUUUCUUUUGGAACCAUAAACGCAUUACUAUUGGAACCAUAAACUCAUUUCUGUUGGAACCAUAAUCACAUUUCUGUUGGAACCGAUAAACGAUAAACGAUUUUCGGCUAGAACCAUAACCCCAUUACUGUUGGAUUCAUAAACCCAUUUUUUUUGGAAAAAACUACCUCAUUCCUAUUGGGGCGAUUUUAGAACAAUCAUUUUAGAACAAUAAACCCAUUCCCGUUGGAAUCAUAAGCAACGACCAGUCGUGUAAGAACCAUAAACCGCCGUAAAUUGGAAUCAUUUCCUUAUUACUAUUGGCACCAUACACCUUUCAACCAUGGAAUCAUAAACACAUUCCUUUAGGAACCAUAGACCCAUUGGAACUAUGACAAAAUAGGACCCUCGAGGCUUUGAUACAAAGUUAUUACCCAAUACUACAAUAAAAACUAUUUUCAGAUUAUGGAGGUGGAAGAAUGUAUAUUGAUUGAUUGAUUAAAGCCUGAAAUGUAUAUUUUACCAAUCCUUCUCAUCUGUUCUGCACCUACGAUUUUGGGAAAUACUGAAAGGCAUAAGCAAGAUUUUCUGCCUGCUCCAUAUACAGGAUCCCACCUGAAAGUUUCUACAGUAGCAGGAAUGCUGACGAACCUACCUUGUAAUAUAACUCCUAGUAUACAAGAUGACAGAGUACUCCUAGUACUCUGGU